rnacentral:rRNA from 1 species
GAUGAACGCUGGCGGCGUGCCUAAUACAUGCAAGUCGAACGAAGGUAGCAAUACCUUAGGUGGCGAACGGGCGAGUAACACGUAGGUAACCUGCCUUUCAGUUGGGGAUAACCGAGGGAAACUUUGGCUAAUACCGAAUUCGUGCUUCGAAGGCAUCUUCGGAGCAUAAAAGGGGCCUUUAAAGCCUCGCUGAUUGAUGGACCUGCGGCGCAUUAGUUAGUUGGUGAGAUAACAGCCCACCAAGACGAGGAUGCGUAGCCGACCUGAGAGGGUGAUCGGCCACACUGGAACUGAGACACGGUCCAGACUCCUACGGGAGGCAGCAGUAGGGAGUUUUCGGCAAUGGGGGAAACCCUGACCGAGCAACGCCGCGUGAGUGAUGAAGGUCUUCGGAUUGUAAAGCUCUGUUAUAAGGGAAGAACGGCAGCUAGAGGAAAUGCUAGCUGUUUGACGGUACUUUAUGAAGAAAGCCACGGCUAACUACGUG